UGUUGUGUCGGAGACCUGGCACUCGUCAUGUCGGUGUUGUGUCAGAGACCUGGCACUCUUCAUGUCGGUGUUGUGUCAGAGACCUGGCACUCGUCAUGUCGGUGUUGUGUCAGAGACCUGGCACUCGUCAUGUCGGUGUUGUGUCAGAGACCUGGCACUCUUCAUGUCGGUGUUGUGUCGGAGACCUGGCACUCGUCAUGUCGGUGUUGUGUCUGUGACCUGGCCCUUCCCGUGUUGGUGUUGUGUCGGUGUUGCACUUGUGUCUGUACAGUAUCACCAAGUGAGUUUCGUGGUUAUCAUGUGUGCUUAACGUGUACCUGUGAUGUUGAGUGACGGGAGGCUGAUGGUGUCAUACUGCAUGAAUAGUAUGUGUGUAUGUUCGUUUGUAUUUAUGCAUUUUCCAUUUUGAUCAUUUUGUUAUAAAGAUUUUCAAGGCACCAACUCGGAUUUAUUCAAAUCAAAGUGUGACAAGUGCCCCUGAACCAGUGUAUGUCACUACCUGAACAAAUUGUGACAAUACCUUGACGAUACUUGAAUUAUGUAAAUAACAAUUACAUAAGUAACCAUCUUCUGUUGCCAUCUCGUGUCCUUCUCAAAAGAAGCAAAAAAUUGUGUCUUGUCAUUUACCAAUAGUCACUUGAAAUAUUGGGUUUUUUAAACUUCCUGGAGUACUAUAUAAUGGUCAAGUAUGAAUGUUAUAUACCACUCAUUGCUUGACAGGGAUACAACCUCAGACCUGUAUGACAAUGUCAACAUUUGUAAGUUCAGCAUGCCAGGCAGUAUUAGAAACUGUUCACAUGACAACUAUUCACAAUCCCCCUCAAUUCCCACUUGGACAUGUCGGAUAUCCCUAUCAAGACUUGAGUAGUGUAUAUAUGAAGACAGGCAGUGAGUUAUUUGGCUGGCACUGUUUACUUAUUCACACCUGAUCUCGGAUCCUCCCUGUACAAUACGCUGCAGGUUAGACGACAGUUUCUAGUUGGUCACCUUCAGUUGUGGUUUAUUAACAAUGUCUGUCAGGUAAAUGUGACAUUGAUGGCUUCAUGUAUUAUGUGUUUUAGACAACCAGUAUGGACAGGCCACCUUUUUCCAUUAACUGCUGCAAUUAUGUUAAGCUAUUAGAGUAGUGAUCAUUUGUCUGAAAAAUAAAAGAAAAAUUUACUGAUUUGAUAGCAACGUUGGGAGUGGACUUAAUCUUUGGUUGUAUCGGUCAAGCAUUUGUUGACAAUGUUCAAGAUGAUGAAAACGUACAUUUGGGUAAAAACAAAUACUUAUUUUGGUUUCUCCAUAUUUUGCUACAGUGUAAUUUAGAAUGAUUUAUACUUCUGAUGACUGUAUACUGAUGUCAACGGUUAAUACUUGCAGCAGAUUCCAUUGUUGCAGGUUAACCUUCUGGCAAUACAUUGUGCAGGAUAACUUAUGUAUGUACGGUGAACUGGUCUUUCAUUUCAGAUUUCUGUUGAAUUAUUUGUAUUAUGCCUAGAAUGUAUAUUUGAUUUGUACAUUUUUGUAUAUUUUUAUACCAAAUUUGUUUAUUUAAAUUUGUGAUAUUUGUAUUUAAAUUCAUUCCAAUUGGUUUGUAGGGUGGUGCGCAAUGAAAUCUUGGUGCUCGUGUUUAUUUUAAUUUGUGAGACGCACAUUCAUUGCUGUUUUCAUGUCCAACUCUUGUGUGUGGUGCAUGUCCAUCUUGCAGUGGUUUAUUACCGAACAAUGAGAAUGUUUGGUGUAAUUAUCAUCGUCUUCACCCAGUAUCACUUCCAGUCGCCACCAGGUGCCAUUUUGUUCCCCGUCAUCAGCAGGUGGCGUAUUUCCUCCAGUCGCCACCAGGUGGCGUGAUAUUACCCAAGUGACCACCAGGUGCCAUUUUGUUGCCCCCUGUCACCACCAGGGGGCGUAAUUCUCCCUGUCACCACCAGGUGCUGUGUUCUCAUCAUUUAGUGCUAUUUGAGUUUGAUAUAUAUUUUUUUAAGCUCAUCCUAUUUAAAAUACAAGAAUUAAUAUCUCUGCUGAAAUAGUUGCUUUUAUCAGGAUGAGUUGUGAAUUAGUUUUGGUUAGACAAUCUUUUUACUGUUUCACAGGAAUGUAUUGAAAAAAUAUAUGGAUAAUUUACAGAAAUAAUUAUUGAGAACUUGUAUUCGUGCAUUUUAAUCAAAGAUACUAGACUCUCAUUAUUUCCCAUUACAGAAAUAUGGGCUACAAGUGCCCUCUUGAAGUGUAAAACUAAAUAUAUUGUCUGGCUUUAUAUUAAUUUGGACCUUCGUUAGAACAUCUCCUUUGCAGUGUGCUGAUGGACUAGGUUGAAACACCACUGACGUAUUUAGCGAUGUGUGGAAGGUGAAAUACUUAAUCCAUCCAGCAGAUUUUUGUAUUGUUUUUCAUGUGCUUGAUUUUAUAUUUUAUUUAUUCUGCUAAAUGUAAGUUGAUUUGAGAUGACUCUAUGAGACCAAACAAGGCAUGAGAGUAUUUGAAGUACAGCUCCCGGACUGCUAUCAUGUGCCUUGCUACCUCGUGCCGUGUCGUCCCGUGUUCCAUGUGUAGCAGCAGCAAGGCCAACCUUCUUAUAGAACUCGGACUCAUUAUAGACACAUUAGCAUCAGCACCUGAAUCAUGGUGGAUGUUUCAACUGUUACGGUUAAAUAUACAAACACUGUCAAAUGUUAUUGAACCUGACAACUUUUUUCCCCGUCAAUUAAAGAAAAACUUUAGUGAGUAGAAAAAUACGAAUACAUGAUAUCAGUUGUACUUAGAGUGUAUCAAAUUAAACAAAUCAAAUCCAGGACCCAAGUGAAAUAAAAUGGCUGGCCUAUUCAGAAUAAAUGGAUUAUUCUUGUUAGGACGAGAUGUUUAUGAUGCUUGUAGAGUAUAUGGCAAAUACUUAUCAAUUUUACAGUAAUGUAGAUUUCUUCAUUUGGCAUCUCCACUAGUUUUGUAAUGAUGUUGUUUGGAUGUAUUAAUUGGCUGAAAGAUUCGUUGAUUGUAUAUCGCCCGAACUAGAGACCAGGACCCAGUUCCAUGAAGCUGUCUCAGGGCCAUUGUAAAUGCUGACGUGUAGGAAUUACAAACGAUAGUUGAGCGUCGUAUGACCCUGGCCUAAUAUGGCCCUGGAAACCUUUCACUGCUGAGUGAUAUGUGCUUUGUACAGGGUUACAGAUAUUAUCUGUGUUAGACUCAGAAUCAUUUCUAAUUAAGAUAAAUGGGUAGAAGUAUGUCCAAUAUGCAGAAUCCAACCCUGACUAAAGAACCACAUAAGGAAUGAGUCAAAUAAAGGCUACCUAGGUCAAGCACCUUUUAGUGCUGCAGCUCCCGGAGCUGUAGAUGAAAUCAAGUGUGGACGUUUAAUGUGCUUCACAUAUGAAACUGACUCCAUUUUCACUUCUGUUAAAUCAAAGUUUCACAAAUGUGGAAUAAAACAACUAGAUUAAGACAUUGUCCCUUCCAAGUUCCUACCAUUUCACUUACAAAUAAAACCUUGCUUUUCACUGAUCAUUAAAAUGAUUUUGUAGUUUCGUUUGUAUUUCAGUUUCAGCCAUUGACACUGAUUUUUUAAGGGAAAGCUGUAUUUAAAUUAGCCAGGUAUUUAGAUUACAAAGGCUUUAAGACAUCCCGAGUGUUCCAAGUAUGUCGGAAGCUGUGAAACAGUUUCCAUGUAUACACAUAUUCAUGUUGGAAUAAUGUCUCUUUCUGUACUCGGGGGAGGUAGGGAUGAGGACAAUAUUCAAUUACUUCUGCUGGGAGUGUAAAUAUUUCCAUCCAGACUUCUACUGGAGACUGGGACCAAACAAGGGGGAUAACCAGGUGGAACUACACAUAUGUUGUUUUCAACAUUGAAGAAUUCCAUUAUGUCACAUGAUGUAUAAAGGAUGUUAUACUUUGUGGAUAUGUCUACCAGCAGGCCAGAUUGUCUUGUGAGCUUUAAGUGGUUUAAUUUCAUUUAUGUGUAGUCCACUGUUUGUCCUGUCCUUCUCUCAUCGGAAAUACAAGCUUAUGAGAGCAUGAACUAAAUAAAAUCUUCACAGAGGAA